GGCCUUCCCAUGAAUGCUUCUUGUUAUGUGAUUUGGACUUUCCAAAGUGUUGUCUUCAGGUUGGACUCAAAGCAUCUUCACCCAAUUGUAUGAAAGUGACCCAAUUAGGUGCAGUCUCUAUCUCACGUUGGUCUUCUUUUCCUUUGAUUUUUAUGAUCAGGCUUUCCAAAGCUUGUUUCAUCCUCUUAGUCUUAGCCCUAGUCAUAGGACCUUCAAUUCCAUGCAAAGGAUCUUUAGAUGGGCUGGUUGCGUCUCUAUCAUUCCCUCCCUCUUCAAAAGGAUUCAUCCUCGAAUCAGAUUCAUCACCUACAU
rnacentral:lncRNA from 1 species